UCUCUGCAGACGGCCGGGGGUACCUCAGUCAUUUAUCACCCCCCCUAGUGUCCCAACUCAGAGAGUGAUAAUAUCUGACUGCAAAUAUGUCUCAAAUAGCUGCCUAUUCUCAUAUUGCGCCGAUGGGGUAGAGGUUCUGGUUCCGGAACAGAUGUCUUCACCACCUCUCUGUACUGUAGAGGUUCUGGUUCCGGAACAGAUGUCUACACCACCUCUCUGUACUGUAGAGGUUCUGGUUCCGGAACAGAUGUCUUCACCACCUCUCUGUACUGUAGAGGUUCUGGUUCCGGAACAGAUGUCUUCACCACCUCUCUGUACUGUAGAGGUUCUGGUUCCGGAACAGAUGUCUUCACCACCUCUCUGUACUGUAGAGGUUCUGGUUCCGGAACAGAUGUCUUCACCACCUCUCUGUACUGUAGAGGUUCUGGUUCCGGAACAGAUGUCUUCACCACCUCUCUGUACUGUAGAGGUUCUGGUUCCGGAACAGAUGUCUUCACCACCUCUCUGUACUGUAGAGGUUCUGGUUCCGGAACAGAUGUCUUCACCACCUCUCUGUACUGUAGAGGUUCUGGUUCCGGAACAGAUGUCUUCACCACCUCUCUGUACUGUAGAGGUUCUGGUUCCGGAACAGAUGUCUUCACCACCUCUCUGUACUGUAGAGGUUCU